CUCUCCACUUGAAAGAUUCUGAUCUUUCUUGAAGCAGUUAUUUAUUUACAUGGGAAAAGAAAGGCCGUCUCUUCCUUGAACUGUCUCAGCAAGUCCACAAGCUAAGAAACGCAUACAGGUUUAAUAGAGCCGCGUGAUCAUCCCAGAUCAGCCACAUGAAAAAAUGAGGCUCCAGGGGUUACCAUUCCUGGUCAUUUUGGUUUUCCCUGUAGAAAUGUUGUGAUGCAUAUGCCAGUGUGAAAAGCACAGCUCUGUGCUGUCGAGAAAUGAUCUUUUGAUGCCUGAGAGUUUCAAAGCUGAAACAAGGCAGCCAAGGGUGGAGACUACAUAUACCGGAAUCCUGAAAACACGGACGGCCAGCGAAGUCUUACCGAAUGGGCCAUUGCCACGUUCCCGGGAACAUUAGCGGGAAUGUGUAAUACAAGAUUUUUGUGGAAUGAGACUCCUGUUCGAAGCACGGAGUGGAGAGCUGUGCACAGAACUGCUGAGAAGCAGCCAGAAAAGAGCUCAUGAAUGAUUGAGCCCUGGCCAGGAGGAAGGAUACUUGGCACCUGACUUAAUAGGAUGCACUGUUAUUUAACCGUUGGACGCAGCCGCUGUUUGCACCAGGAGGACUGUGGGACCUCGCUCAGGAUGGUGACUGAGUAAGGAAGUUUUGUGUUUGAGCCCGUGUGUUCUUUUCUGUGGAAUGAAUGUUUCUGUGCACUGGUGUGAACAUUUGAUCAAAUUAAAUAAACAUUCCGUCAUCAAACA